rnacentral:rRNA from 1 species
CGGCGGACGGGUGAGUAACACGUGGAUAACCUACCUAUAAGACUGGGAUAACUUCGGGAAACCGGAGCUAAUACCGGAUAAUAUAUUGAACCGCAUGGUUCAAUAGUGAAAGACGGUUUUGCUGUCACUUAUAGAUGGAUCCGCGCCGCAUUAGCUAGUCGGUAAGGUAACGGCUUACCAAGGCAACGAUGCGUAGCCGACCUGAGAGGGUGAUCGGCCACACUGGAACUGAGACACGGUCCAG